CCAUGCUUCCAGGAAAAGCCUCUAAGCUUCAGAUAGUCAGGAAUCGUACCCCAAACCGACACAGGUGGUCGGGUAGAGAAUACCAAGGCGCUUGAGAGAACUCGGGUGAAGGAACUAGGCAAAAUGGUACCGUAACUUCGGGAGAAGGUACGCUCUUGAUGGUGAAGUCCCUCGCGGAUGGAGCUGACGAGAGUCGCAGAUACCAGGUGGCUGCAACUGUUUAUUAAAAACACAGCACUGUGCAAAAUCGCAAGAUGACGUAUACGGUGUGACGCCUGCCCGGUGCCGGAAGGUUAAUUGAUGGGGUUAGCGCAAGCGAAGCUCUUGAUCGAAGCCCCGGUAAACGGCGGCCGUAACUAUAACGGUCCUAAGGUAGCGAAAUUCCUUGUCGGGUAAGUUCCGACCUGCACGAAUGGCGUAAUGAUGGCCACGCUGUCUCCACCCGAGACUCAGUGAAAUUGAAAUCGCUGUGAAGAUGCAGUGUACCCGCGGCUAGACGGAAAGACCCCGUGAACCUUUACUACAGCUUGGCACUGAACAUUGAACCUACAUGUGUAGGAUAGGUGGGAGGCUAUGAAGACGUGACGCCAGUUGCGUUGGAGCCGUCCUUGAAAUACCACCCUUGUAUGUUUGAUGUUCUAACUUAGACCCAUUAUCUGGGUUGAGGACAGUGCCUGGUGGGUAGUUUGACUGGGGCGGUCUCCUCCCAAAGAGUAACGGAGGAGCACGAAGGUGGGCUAAUCACGGUUGGACAUCGUGAGGUUAGUGCAAUGGCAUAAGCCCGCUUAACUGCGAGAAUGACGGUUCGAGCAGGUGCGAAAGCAGGUCAUAGUGAUCCGGUGGUUCUGUAUGGAAGGGCCAUCGCUCAACGGAUAAAAGGUACUCCGGGGAUAACAGGCUGAUACCGCCCAAGAGUUCAUAUCGACGGCGGUGUUUGGCACCUCGAUGUCGGCUCAUCACAUCCUGGGGCUGAAGUCGGUCCCAAGGGUAUGGCUGUUCGCCAUUUAAAGUGGUACGCGAGCUGGGUUUAGAACGUCGUGAGACAGUUCGGUCCCUAUCUGCCGUGGGCGUUGGAAGAUUGAAGGGGGCUGCUCCUAGUACGAGAGGACCGGAGUGGACGAACCUCUGGUGUUCGGGUUGUGUCGCCAGACGCAUUGCCCGGUAGCUAAGUUCGGAAUUGAUAAGCGCUGAAAGCAUCUAAGCGCGAAGCGAGCCCUGAGAUGAGUCUUCCCUGACAGUUUAACUGUCCUAAAGGGUUGUUCGAGACUAGAACGUUGAUAGGCAGGGUGUGUAAGCGUUGUGAGGCGUUGAGCUAACCUGUACUAAUUGCCCGUGAGGCUUAACCAUACAACACCCAAGG
rnacentral:rRNA from 1 species